UAAGCGGUUGAAGGUGUGUGGUAACGCAUGCUGGACGUAUCAGAAGUGCGAAUGCUGACAUGAGUAACGAUAAAGGGGGUGAAAAACCUCCUCGCCGGAAGACCAAGGGUUCCUGUCCAACGUUAAUCGGGGCAGGGUAAGUCGACCCCUAAGGCGAGGCCGAAAGGCGUAGUCGAUGGGAAACGGGUUAAUAUUCCCGUACUUCUUACAAUUGCGAUGGGGGGACGGAGAAGGCUAGGUGGGCCUGGCGACGGUUGUCCAGGUUCAAGUGCGUAGGCUUAAGAGUUAGGUAAAUCCGGCUCUUUUUAAGGCUGAGACACGACGUCGAGCACCUACGGGUGUGAAGUCAUUGAUGCCAUGCUUCCAGGAAAAGCCUCUAAGCUUCAGAUUGUAAGGAAUCGUACCCCAAACCGACACAGGUGGUCGGGUAGAGAAUACCAAGGCGCUUGAGAGAACUCGGGUGAAGGAACUAGGCAAAAUGGUACCGUAACUUCGGGAGAAGGUACGCUCUUGAUGGUGAAGUCCCUUGCGGAUGGAGCUGACGAGAGUCGCAGAUACCAGGUGGCUGCAACUGUUUAUUAAAAACACAGCACUGUGCAAAAUCGUAAGAUGACGUAUACGGUGUGACGCCUGCCCGGUGCCGGAAGGUUAAUUGAUGGGGUUAGACUUCGGUCGAAGCUCUUGAUCGAAGCCCCGGUAAACGGCGGCCGUAACUAUAACGGUCCUAAGGUAGCGAAAUUCCUUGUCGGGUAAGUUCCGACCUGCACGAAUGGCGUAAUGAUGGCCACGCUGUCUCCACCCGAGACUCAGUGAAAUUGAAAUCGCUGUGAAGAUGCAGUGUACCCGCGGCUAGACGGAAAGACCCCGUGAACCUUUACUACAGCUUGGCACUGAACAUUGACCCUACAUGUGUAGGAUAGGUGGGAGGCUUUGAAGCACGUACGCCAGUAUGUGUGGAGCCGUCCUUGAAAUACCACCCUUGUAGUGUU
rnacentral:rRNA from 1 species